rnacentral:rRNA from 1 species
UACGGAGGGGGCGAGCGUUAUUCGGAAUCAUUGGGCGUAAAGGGCGCGUAGGCGGCCACCGAAGGUCGACUGUGAAAUCUCCGGGCUUAACCCGGAAAGGUCAGCCGAUACUGCGGGGCUAGAGUGCAGAAGGGGCAACUGGAAUUCUCGGUGUAGCGGUGAAAUGCGUAGAUAUCGAGAGGAACGCCGGCGGCGAAGGCGGGUUGCUGGGCUGACACUGACGCUGAGGCGCGAAAGCUAGGGGAGCGAACGGG